rnacentral:rRNA from 1 species
UACGGAGGGUGCAAGGGCUGUUCGGACUCAUUGGGCGUAAAGGGCGUGUAGGCGGGCGGGUAAGUCAGAUGUGAAAUCCCUUGGCUUAACCAAGGAAGUGCAUUUGAAACUGCCCGGCUUGAGUACGGGAGGGGGAAUCGGAAUUCCCGGUGUAGAGGUGAAAUUCGUAGAUAUCGGGAGGAACACCGGUGGCGAUGGCGGCUUCCUGGACCGAUACUGACGCUGAGACGCGAAAGCGUGGGGAGCAAACAGG